rnacentral:tRNA from 1 species
CCUCUCGUCGUUCAAUGGAUAGGACGCGAGGUUCCGGACCUCGUGAUGUAGGUUCGAUUCCUACCGAGAGGA